UUUUCUUUUACUAUAAUCUUGUAGUAGUUGUGUUCUUGUAACCAUUUCUAUUUUGUGUUAGUAAAACUGUAUGUUGUUCUUAUAUUAUUGUUAUCAUCUCGUGUCAUCUUGUUCUUGCUGUGUUGUUGCUGUUUUGGUGUUAAAAUACACCUUGUAUCUUGCAAUAUUUGUGUUGUUAUUAUUGGCCGAAAGUUGCUCUCAAAGGGUUCUCGGAUUUGCUUUAAAAUUAUGGACUGUUUUGGGGUGUUUUUGGUGUUUCCAAGUUUUUAUUGUAUCAUUUGGUAUCAGAUCUUGUGGUUGAUUUUGUUCCAACAAAAUCAAUCUUGGACUUGGUAGUUGAAAAAAAUACAAAAAAAAAAAAAAAAGUUAUGUUCUUGAGAUUUUGUUCUUGGACGAAAGUUGUAUCUUGUUGUUGUCUUGGUCGAAAAUUUGUUUCUGUGUCUAGAUCUAUUAAUCAUUUUGUUAGUCUAAUGUGUUUCUUGUGUUAGUUUCUUGAUUCACUAACACUAAGGGUGUCUAGAACUAUAUUUGAGCUUAAACUUGUUGAAGUUUUGUUGUGAACUUAAAAGGUGGUCGUGUGUUGUGGUGUUGUUGUGAAGAAUUGGAGUGGGCGUUAAAGGUGUUGUUGUUGUAGUUCUUGAAGAUUAUUGUUGUGUUCAUCUUGUACUUCACCUAGUCUUAUAACUUAAUCAACAAAAAGUGUAAAAUAGAUUCAAGA
rnacentral:lncRNA from 1 species